rnacentral:snRNA from 1 species
AUACCUUUCUCGGCCUUUUGGCUAAGAUCAAGUGUAGUAUCUGUUCUUAUCAGUUUAAUAUCUGAUACGUGGGUCAAUGACUCACACGAUAUUAAAUUUAUUUUUUAAGGGGGAAGGCCUAUAACAGUAGCUUGCUGCUGAGUUCUUCGAGCGUCGCCUUUGCGUUGCACUUCUGCAUUGGCCUGGCGCGCCCCUC